AUUGAACGCUGGCGGCAGGCCUAACACAUGCAAGUCGAGCGGAUGAAGGGAGCUUGCUCCUGGAUUCAGCGGCGGACGGGUGAGUAAUGCCUAGGAAUCUGCCUGGUAGUGGGGGAUAACGUCCGGAAACGGGCGCUAAUACCGCAUAUGUCCUGAGGGAGAAAGCGGGGGAUCUUCGGACCUCACGCUAUCAGAUGAGCCUAGGUCGGAUUAGCUAGUUGGUGGGGUAAAGGCCUACCAAGGCGACGAUCCGUAACUGGUCUGAGAGGAUGAUCAGUCACACUGGAACUGAGACACGGUCCAGACUCCUACGGGAGGCAGCAGUGGGGAAUAUUGGACAAUGGGCGAAAGCCUGAUCCAGCCAUGCCGCGUGUGUGAAGAAGGUCUUCGGAUUGUAAAGCACUUUAAGUUGGGAGGAAGGGCAGUAAGUUAAUACCUUGCUGUUUUGACGUUACCAACAGAAUAAGCACCGGCUAACUUCGUG
rnacentral:rRNA from 1 species